GACGAACGCUGGCGGCGUGCCUAAUACAUGCAAGUCGAACGCAUUUUCUUUCACCGUAGCUUGCUACACCGAAAGAAAAUGAGUGGCGAACGGGUGAGUAACACGUGGGUAACCUGCCCAUCAGCGGGGGAUAACACUUGGAAACAGGUGCUAAUACCGCAUAAUUCCAUUUACCGCAUGGUAAAUGGAUGAAAGGCGCUUUUGCGUCACUGAUGGAUGGACCCGCGGUGCAUUAGCUAGUUGGUGGGGUAACGGCCUACCAAGGCUGCGAUGCAUAGCCGACCUGAGAGGGUGAUCGGCCACACGGGGACUGAGACACGGCCCAGACUCCUACGGGAGGCAGCAGUAGGGAAUCUUCGGCAAUGGACGCAAGCCUGACCGAGCAACGCCGCGUGAUUGAAGAAGGUUUUCGGAUCGUAAAACUCUGUUGUUAGAGAAGAACAAGGAUGAGAGUGGAAAGUUCAUCCCUUGACGGUAUCUAACCAGAAAGCCACGGCUAACUACGUG
rnacentral:rRNA from 1 species